UGCCAGUAUCCUGGUGUGUGGUC
rnacentral:piRNA from 1 species